rnacentral:rRNA from 1 species
GGAAUGAUGGGAAUGUAAAACCCUUCCAGAGUAACAAUUGGAGGGCAAGUCUGGUGCCAGCAGCCGCGGUAAUUCCAGCUCCAAUAGUGUAUAUUAGAGUUGUUGCAGUUAAAAAGCUCGUAGUUGGAUUUCUGUUGUGGUCAACCGGCACCGCCUGUAUGGGUGUGCGCCUGGUAUGCCCGUGGCUUUUUUCCGGUAGCCUCCACGAUGCUACUGUGUAUUGUGUGGUUGUGGAACAUUUUUUUUGUUAAAAAAAAAGUGUUGUUUCCAGGCUUGUUGUUGCCCUGACUGCUGCAUGGAGGAAUAAUAAAAGACGACCUCUCUUCUUUUUUGUUGUUUUCUACGA